AGGUUCAGCUGCCUCGCUACCCAUUAAUGCCUCAUUUCACUCCAUCAAAAAUGAAGUUGACAUAAACUGGUUUCCAAAUGAUUUCCUCCCCAGUCUGUUGGGGGAAUCCUGAAAUCAGCAUCACCUUCACCACUGGAUUCUGUUGCUUAGUUUGGUUGUUGGAUCUCACUUCCUUAUGCCUUCUGCACCUGAAAGGGAUGAAGCUGUCAGUCUGGGAUGCAGCAGCGACACCAGAUUCACUAAUUUGAAAAGACAGCGCACACUGAAAGCCAAUGCUCUGGAAUGGCACCAGCUUGAAGUCAAUUUUUGU